rnacentral:rRNA from 1 species
GUUGUAAACCUCUUUUAGUAGGGAAGAAGCGAAAGUGACGGUACCUGCAGAAAAAGCACCGGCUAACUACGUGCCAGCAGCCGCGGUAAUACGUAGGGUGCAAGCGUUGUCCGGAAUUAUUGGGCGUAAAGAGCUCGUAGGCGGUUUGUCGCGUCUGCUGUGAAAUCCCGAGGCUCAACCUCGGGCUUGCAGUGGGUACGGGCAGACUAGAGUGCGGUAGGGGAGAUUGGAAUUCCUGGUGUAGCGGUGGAAUGCGCAGAUAUCAGGAGGAACACCGAUGGCGAAGGCAGAUCUCUGGGCCGUAACUGACGCUGAGGAGCGAAAGCAUGGGGAGCGAACAGGAUUAGAUACCCUGGUAGUCCAUGCCGUAAACGUUGGGCGCUAGAUGUAGGGACCUUUCCACGGUUUCUGUGUCGUAGCUAACGCAUUAAGCGCCCCGCCUGGGGAGUACGGCCGCAAGGCUAAAACUCAAAGGAAUUGACGGGGGCCCGCACAAGCGGCGGAGCACGCGGAUUAAUUCGAUGCAACGCGAAGAACCUUACCAAGGCUUGACAUACACCGGAAACGGCCAGAGAUGGUCGCCCCCUUGU